rnacentral:rRNA from 1 species
AUUGAACGCUGGCGGCAUGCUUUACACAUGCAAGUCGAACGGCAGCGCGGGCUUCGGCCUGGCGGCGAGUGGCGAACGGGUGAGUAAUGCAUCGGAACGUGCCCAGUAGUGGGGGAUAGCCCGGCGAAAGCCGGAUUAAUACCGCAUACGACCUGAGGGUGAAAGCGGGGGACCGAAAGGCCUCGCGCUAUUGGAGCGGCCGAUGUCGGAUUAGCUAGUUGGUGGGGUAAAGGCUUGCCAAGGCGACGAUCCGUAGCUGGUCUGAGAGGACGACCAGCCACACUGGGACUGAGACACGGCCCAGACUCCUACGGGAGGCAGCAGUGGGGAAUUUUGGACAAUGGGGGCAACCCUGAUCCAGCCAUGCCGCGUGCGGGAAGAAGGCCUUCGGGUUGUAAACCGCUUUUGUUCGGGAAGAAAUCCUCUGGGCUAAUACCCCGGGGGGAUGACGGUACCGGAAGAAUAAGCACCGGCUAACUACGUG